rnacentral:rRNA from 1 species
UACGGAGGGUGCAAGCGUUAAUCGGAAUCACUGGGCGUAAAGCGCGCGUAGGCGGUCUUUUAAGUCGGACGUGAAAGCCCUCGGCUCAACCGGGGAAUUGCGUUCGAAACUGGGAGACUUGAGUCCUGGAGAGGGUGGCGGAAUUCCGGGUGUAGGAGUGAAAUCCGUAGAUAUCCGGAGGAACACCGGUGGCGAAGGCGGCCACCUGGACAGGUACUGACGCUGAGGCGCGAAAGCGUGGGGAGCAAACAGG